rnacentral:ncRNA from 1 species
UUAUUGGAGAGUUUGAUCCUGGCUCAGGACGAACGCUGGCGGCGUGCCUAAUACAUGCAAGUCGAGCGGACUUGAGGGAGCUUGCUCCCAAUGGUCAGCGGCGGACGGGUGAGUAACACGUGGGCAACCUGCCUGUAAGACUGGGAUAACUCCGGGAAACCGGGGCUAAUACCGGAUAAUUCAUUCCCUCACAUGAGGGAAUGCUGAAAGACGGCUUUUGCUGUCACUUACAGAUGGGCCCGCGGCGCAUUAGCUAGUUGGUGAGGUAACGGCUCACCAAGGCCACGAUGCGUAGCCGACCUGAGAGGGUGAUCGGCCACACUGGGACUGAGACACGGCCCAGACUCCUACGGGAGGCAGCAGUAGGGAAUCUUCCGCAAUGGACGAAAGUCUGACGGAGCAACGCCGCGUGAGCGAAGAAGGCCUUCGGGUCGUAAAGCUCUGUUGUCAGGGAAGAACAAGUACCGGAGUAACUGCCGGUACCUUGACGGUACCUGACCAGAAAGCCACGGCUAACUACGUGCCAGCAGCCGCGGUAAUACGUAG